AAAAAUUCGUUGAUGAGAAGAGUACUUUUUUAAAUUUCUUAUAGAGAGCAGAGGAUGGUGGAAGCUUUGCAGAAUAUAAAAAAGGAAGAGAGCCUCUAAGAAGCUGCUUGAAUUUUUAGUAGGGUAAGCCGUUAACUGCGUUAAAGUUUUAAGUGGAUAUGUUUUUCAUAUCAACUAGAGUGGUACCACGGUAAUAAUACCCGUCUCUAUA
rnacentral:ncRNA from 1 species